rnacentral:rRNA from 1 species
AGAUUGAACGCUAGCGGGAUGCUUUACACAUGCAAGUCGAACGGCAGCGCGGACUUCGGUCUGGCGGCGAGUGGCGAACGGGUGAGUAAUAUAUCGGAACGUGCCCAGUAGCGGGGGAUAACUACGCGAAAGCGUGGCUAAUACCGCAUACGCCCUACGGGGGGAAAGGGGGGGAUUCUUCGGAACCUCUCACUAUUGGAGCGGCCGAUAUCAGAUUAGCUAGUUGGUGAGGUAAAGGCUCACCAAGGCGACGAUCUGUAGCUGGUUUGAGAGGACGACCAGCCACACUGGGACUGAGACACGGCCCAGACUCCUACGGGAGGCAGCAGGUGGGAAUUUGGACAAGUGGGGGAACCCUGAAUCCAGCCAGUCCCGCGUGUGCGAUGAA